rfam:Gossypium arboreum cultivar AKA8401 contig_34645_1, whole genome shotgun sequence.
AAACCAUGCAUCGGGCAUUUUCUAAUUAAAUCUUUAAAUCGCUCUUAAGCUCCAUACAAUGUCUCAUUUUUAGAUUGUCGAAAAGAUGUAAUAUCGUUCCUUAAUUU